GAUGAAGAACGUAGCGAAAUGCGAUAAGUAAUGUGAAUUGCAGAAUUCAGUGAAUCAUCGAAUCUUUGAACGCACAUUGCGCCCGCUAGUAUUCCGGGGGGCAUGCCUGUCCGAGCGUCAUUACAACCCUCAAGCUCAGCUUGGUAUUGGGCCCCGCCGACCCGGCGGGCCCUAAAGUCAGUGGCGGUGCCGUCCGGCUCCGAGCGUAGUAAUUCUUCUCGCUCUGGAGGUCCGGUCGUGUGCUCGCCAGCAACCCCCAAUUUUUUUCAGGUUGACCUCGGAUCAGGUAGGGAUACCCGCUGAACUUAAGCAUAUCAAUAAGCGGAGGA
rnacentral:misc_RNA from 1 species